rnacentral:rRNA from 3 species
UGUGGUUCAUGACUGGGGUGAAGUCGUAACAAGGUAGCGCUAGGGGAACCUGGCGCUGGAUCACCUCCUUAUACGAUGAU